rnacentral:lncRNA from 1 species
AGAAUUUGAAGAAGUAAAAAAAAAAUUAUUAUUUUUAAAAAAGUAGUAAAGUCGAAAUUAAUAAAAAAAAAAUAUAUCCAUUUUUUGAUGAAUAUAGAUUUUGAUAGUUUUUUUUAAAAUAUUAAUAAUUUUAAUUUUUGAUUCUUAUGGACAACACAAACUGAAAAGGUAAAAAAAUAAAAAAAAUGCACUAAAGACAAAAACGAUCCUCAAAAUAAAUUAUUUAACAACAUUGUUAAUUUUUUGUAUGAAAACUAUUAUAAAUAUAUUUGCCAAAAAUAAUAUUUUUUAUACACAUCAUAUAAAUAGUGAAACAACCGUAAUUUUAGUGUAAAAUAGAAUACUUUUGAUGUAAUACACAUUUUCAUUAUAUUUGGGGCAAUGAAUGAGGUCAAUAUUCACAAAAGCCGCAGUGGGUAUGAUAAAUUAGAUUUUGGCCUCUCUACUCUUAUCUCUUUUCUAGUCUCUGUCAAUGAAUUAUGUCAAGUGCUCUAGCCUACUUUUCCUGUAUGGGCUUGUGUUAAGAAAAAAAACUAUAGGUACUGAACUUACUUUGACUUCUAGCCAUUUAAAGUGCUAGAUUGUCAAGUGCUGUUUGUGCUAUAUUUUUUUGAGAUUUUAUAAUUAUUUUUUAGUGAUUUUUUUUACGAUUUAAUCGUAAAAGUUAAUGCUUUUUGUUUUUUCUUGAAUCUGAAAAUGUAAAAAAAAUUAUAUUUAAAAAUAAAUUUAUUAAAAAUAAAAAUAUAUUAGAUAAUUAGUCGAGUAAAUUUUAUUUUUUAUCUUUAGUAACCUUUUUUCACAUUAGAUGAAAACUUUACAUUUUCAGAUUUCUCUCACCAGGACGAAUCAGAAAAAUAUAAAAUUUUGAUUAAAUAGUAGAAAAAAUUAAUCAAAGAGAAAAAUUUUAAAAAAACAAAAUAGCUAAAAAAAACUUAACCCAAACAGAAAGUCAAAACUGUAUAAAUAUUUGUGAAAGUACAUUGUAAAAUAUGAAAAGUUUCAAAAUUAUUUGUAUUAAAAAAAAAAACAAGGCAGACUUACCUUGAAAUGAAUUUAUCUAUAUGGAUUUUCCAUGAUCCUCAAAUGAGCCUUAAUUCUUUAUUAUUUUUUCCUCCUUUUCAAGUAUCUCUAGGGACAAAUUUUUAAUGGUAAAUUGCACUAACCUCCCCUUAGGUUUCUGACAAAUACAACACUAUUCUUUUGUAGUUCAAAAAUAACAAUGACCUUGUUGCUUUUUAAAAUUAAAUAUCAAGAGUCCCGACUUGAGCUAGGUUGUACAAAAAGUAACAAGAUUGCCAAAAAAAAUUGUUGUUUUUAUAGGCUCACAAUUUUUUUUAUCAAUAUACCAAUUAAAAUAAAUAAAAAAUCUCUCUCUUUUUUUUAAACAAAAUAAUAGAUUUAAGUAUAUUUAGAUUAGGAUCACUUAAAAGCAAAAUAUUAGAUUGAUAUUUUAAUUUUUUUAUCUAUAAUAAAAUUUAUUUUUCAAGUAUAUUUUUAUUAGUACUUAACAAGUAAAAUAUUUAAAUAUAUUUUUUUAAAAUUUACCUAUUGAUAAAAAUUAAAAAUAGAGUAGUUUAUAAAUAGAUGGUGUUUUGAGAAAAAAAUAUUUAUUUAUUUAAGUGUACUAAGAAAAAAAUUUAAAGCCCUAAAUCCAAGGGUAAAUUUAUUAUUUUUUUCACAAAAAUUAGCUACAGGGGAAUCCUGACAUUAGAUUCAAAAAUAAGAGAGGCCAAUAUUAUUUCUAAAACUAUAGGAGAGAUAGUUGUAUUUAUCAGAAACCUCAAGGGCGGUCAGUGAAAUUUAUCUUUUUUAAUGUUUCCUUAAUUACUUAAUUUGACCCUCACAUUCUCACAGCAUCAAACCCCAGAAAAAUUAUUUAAGUUAUCCAAGUUUUAGGGUUCACGCAAAUGUUAAAUAUUGCACAUCAAACCCUAUCCUCAUCCCAAGCAAAUGCUCUUUGACUCUUUCUUGAAUUUUUAACCCUCUUUCUCCUUGUUAUCAUUUGGCAUAUUUGGAAAUUAAAUAUUUUCUCCUCUCAAUAUUAUAGUACAAAAAAAUAGUAACAAUGCAUUUUGUAUAAGAAUUAGAUUGCAUGUACUUAAAAGCCCUAAUGUUUCCAUUUGUGUGGGUCCUGCUCGACACCAAAUGCAAUAUCACUUAUAAAACUAACAAUUUUAUUAGAAACAAUGCAUUUUUUAUCUCAUAUGUGGGAGUUGCUUUGGGGCUUUGCAUCAAUAAAGCAUAGCAUUGAGUCCCACCAUAUGCACAAAUGCACGGUACAAGAUGGAUUACUUAUAUUUUUUUAUUUUAUACUCUCGAAAACGGAUUCGGAUCCUCUAAAGUGCGGUUGUGUGUGGAGUGUGUCUGGAGCGUUUAAAACGACGUCGUUUUGAUCCUGAUCAUGAAACGACAUUGUUUUAACUGUUAAUUAAAAUAAUGUCCUUUUUGUCGUAAAAUGUACAAAACGACGUUAUUUUGUACACUUCAAACACCAACCCCC